UGGGGAAUUUUGGACAAUGGGCGAAAGCCUGAUCCAGCCAUGCCGCGUGUGUGAAGAAGGUCUUCGGAUUGUAAAGCUCUUUAAGUUGGGAGGAAGGGCAGUAAGCGAAUACCUUGCUGUUUUGACGUUACCGACAGAAUAAGCACCGGCUAACUCUGUGCCAGCAGCCGCGGUAAUACAGAGGGUGCAAGCGUUAAUCGGAAUUACUGGGCGUAAAGCGCGCGUAGGUGGUUCGUUAAGUUGAAUGUGAAAGCCCCGGGCUCAACCUGGGAACUGCAUCCAAAACUGGCGAGCUAGAGUAGGGCAGAGGGUGGUGGAAUUUCCUGUGUAGCGGUGAAAUGCGUAGAGAUCUGGAGGAAUACCGAUGGCGAAGGCAGCCAUCUGGCCUGACACUGACGCUGAGGUACGAAAGCAUGGGGAGCAAACAGG
rnacentral:rRNA from 1 species